CGGGAUUGACAUCCUGAGGGACGGGGACACGGCCACCCGCGGCAUCAUCAUCCUGAGGGACAGGGACACCGCCCCCCGCCGUGGGACAUGGGUCCAAAACCGAAAAAAAAGUCCGGUGGCAAAGGCGGAAAAUCGAAGAAAGCACGGGAAAGGAAGCUUAGAGAGGAGGCCCAGUUGCAAGCUGAGCAAGAAGAAGCAGAAAGGCUUGAAAGGGAGAGACUACGUCAAGAGCACUUGAAAAUUCUUGAGGCAAAGUUUCAAGAGAAGAGGGAGUCUGAACUAGUAGAAUUUAAGUCACUGGAACAGAAGUUUCUUUCUGCAAAGCAGUGGAAAAUGGAUUACAGAGAACAAGCCAAGUGGGAGCAUUACCUCAGCUGUGAUGGGACUCCUGACCCCACUGUAACUCAGGAAAUGAACACUUUCAUGAGCUUGUGGCAUGAUAACCAAGAUGAGGAUGUUCAGCUUGUGAAGGAGAAGGAAGAAGUGGUCCUAAAUUUGAUUGAGAAGUUGGUGUCUCUUAUAUUGGAGACCUCACCAGAUGAGAUCUCAGAAGAACAACGAGACCAGUACCAGGAAUUUAUUCUGCAAUUGCAGGAUCUGCUUCAUAAGAAAUACAAUGAGGCUACACAGAACCUGCUCAAAAUAGCUGGUAUGUAUGAAGAUUCUGAAACUGGGAAUAUGCACACAGCCAUAAAGGAUAAAAAUAGUACUUUCUGUAUUUGGGUCAAUCUGAAGAAGAAAGCAAGGUUCAAGAAGCACGUGUUCCAGGAGGCAGGGCAUGGCUUUGACCUGCCCAAAUCCCUGGCUCUGAGCAGCGUGGCCGUUCGAGUGCUGCACACCUGCUAUGACCACGUGUCCCCCCUGUGGGUGCAGUUCCAAGGGCUGCCAAGGCAGGAGGCCUCAGCCAGCCAGCAGUUAACUGAGCAUCCAAAAGACACUAGGCAGAAACCAGGAGAAGAGGAGAAAGGCAGGGAGGAGCCCAGCGUGCCUGCUGCAGAAGAAACGUCUUCUGAUGAGAGAAAGGAGAGUGCUGCCUCACUGAAAGAAAACAGCAAAAACACAGAGGAUGUAAAAGAGACAGAGGAGGAAACUGAGAAGAAUUCAGACAUUUUGGAUGUGCCAUCAGAAGACGAGGAAGCACUGCUGCAGGAGGAGCCAGGAGGCAGAGAAGAGGCACCAAGGGUUGUGGAUCUGCAGCAGCUGGUGCCUGUGGGGGGUGUGUUCCACAUUGAUGUCCUGCAGCUGCCACCCCAGGCCCAGGAUGUUGGAGACUGGAGCAUGGUGGAGCUGCUGGAUGUUGGAUUGGAGAUGUAUCCAUAUUCUGCAGGACAGGCUGAAGAUGGCACACAGGAAGCAGUACACAUAACCCUGAGGCUUCCUGAUAAUGUGAUUUAUUUUAAAGUGCCUGUGGUAGCCAGAUGGGAGCCUGCAGGCCAGCAGUGGAGAACUGAUGGCAUCAGCAAAAUAACCUAUGAAGCAGAAGAAAAGAGGAUCUCCUUUAGGUUGGGUGCCUUUUGUACAGUGGCCCUUCUCCAGGAUGCUCACCUGAACCUGCCCUAUCAGGCCUGGGAAUUGCACCCCACUGGUGUGGAUGAAGGACUCUUCACAGUUACUGCAGUCUUUGCAACCAUUCAGAUACAAAUUAAGGAUAAUCAGUGUAUGUUGUCUUCAGUAGUGGUGGAAGAAGAGAAGGUGCUUUCCCACAUCACAGGAAAAUGGAUGACUCCUUUUGCCCUCAGAGAAACUCUGAAAAGAGCUGGAGUGAACAUUUUCCCAGCAGAAUACUCUCCUGAGUAUGUGUCUGUGUCCAGGAAGGUUGCCCUGGCAGAAGUGAAGGCCUAUGACCAGAUGGCUCUGCUUGCAGCUGCUUUUGCUUUUGCUAACAGCAAGUGGAAUGGAGCAGCAGGGCCAGAACGAUUUGUGUUCAAGGUAAGUGAACAUCUUACAGCAGGCUCUGCCAAAGACAACAACUGGUCUCUUUAUAUGUUCUGUGGUGACAAAGUGCAAAACCUCAAGCUCUCUGAAACCAGUGAAGCUUUUUCAGAAGAGCUGGAAGAAGAGUCUGAAUUUCACUCCACACUCUACCAUAUGCUCAAGGAUUCUGCCAGCAACGAAGCCCUGGAUAAAGUGGAAAGAGCUGGCUUCCUGUUUAUUGAUUCUGUGUAUCAGCUGCUCCAUGCUACCAGAGUUUUAGCAUACUCUUAGAAGGAAGCCUUGGAGUGGAAUGCCCACACUGACAUCAACCUGUACAUGGGCAGGACAGGAAAGCACAGAGCUCUUCAGUGUUUCUUCAAAAUGUGCAAUUCUCCCCACCCCAAAAAACCUUGAAGGAAACUAGAACCUACAAACAUCAAAAGUGACAGAGCAUUUCCCAGUCAGUGGUCACUGCCUGCACUGGUCAAAGGAGAAGAGAUCCCAGGGAAGCCAUGACAUCUCUCCACUUGCUCUUUUUCCCUGCCAAGUACCCUGGAGUGAGUGCAGUGACCCCUGAGGAUGGAGAGAGGCUUUGGAUGAGGUGAAGAGACUUGAAGAGCCCAUUUCCAGAAUGAUGCUUUGAAGGUUUGUCCAAUAUUUGGUGCUUUUGUCCGUUUCAUGUCUGGUUUUUAUUUUUAAUGGAUGUUUGAGUUCUAGGACACUUAAAAAGGCAUUUUAUAGUGUAUUGCAUUUUCUAUGAUUUUUUUUCCAUUUUGUUUUGUGGAAAAAAUUGAUUUAAUUUUCAUGUUUUGUGUUUCAGGAUACACAGAAGCUCUACUGACCUUUCCCACACCAAGCAAUCCAAGUGCACAGUAGUUAAUUGGAGUACUUAUUGUGUGAAGAAUAAUACUUAAAUCUGUUGGUGCUUCUGUUGGUACACUCUUAAAAUUUGGGCUUUGACCACACUUGUGGAGAUGCAAAGUGAGCACUUGCAUUGCUCUGGACACAUGAUGGGAAAUGUGUUUUAGGAGAAGCCCUUGUGAAUAAAGUGCUGUUGUGUUGAAGGGUUUGUGAGAGCAGAGCAGGGAAUGGACAAGUCAGCUCCAGCAGGUUGAUAUUUGUCUCCUUAUAUUAACAGAAUAUUAUAGAAAUGUAACCCAGAUGUGAACCCAAAGCCUGUGGCAAUAAUUGAUAGUAAUAACUUUUACCUUUUUGUCUCGAGGUCACUGGCAAGCACGGAACAAGAACUGACCCAGAACUUCUUUUUGGUGCCUGGCAGAGAGAGAAACGGCAAACGCCGCUCAAAGAAUUUCUGUGCAUCCCUGUCUGCUUCACCAUUAUUCAUCAAGAGAAUCCAGUCUCAUAUGCAUGGAUAUG